rnacentral:tRNA from 1 species
GUGUGGUGUAGUGGUUAGAGUGUUGGACUAGGACCUGAGAGACCAGGGUUCAAAUCCCUACUUAGCCA